UAAUACAGAGGCCCCGAGCGUUAAUCGGAAUCACUGGGCUUAAAGGGUGCGUAGGCGGGUCAGUAAGCGCUUUGUGAAAUCCCACAGCUCAACUGUGGAACCGCAGGGCGAACUGCUGAUCUUGAGGAAGCUAGAGGCUGGUAGAACGAUAGGUGGAGCGGUGGAAUGCGUAGAGAUCUAUCGGAAUGCCGAAAGUGAAGACAGCCAGCUGGGGCUUUCCUGACGCUAAAGCACGAAAGCGUGGGGAGCAAACCGGAUUAGAUACCCGGGUAGUCCACGCCCUAAACGAUGUGCACUAGACUGGAGCGGCUCUGACGUCGUUCUGGUCGUAGAGAAAUUGUUAAGUGCACCGCCUGGGUAGUACGGUCGCAAGGCUA
rnacentral:rRNA from 1 species